CCUACGGGAGUCAGCAGUGGGGAAUUUUCCGCAAUGGGCGAAAGCCUGACGGAGCAACGCCGCGUGAGGGAUGAAGGCCUCUGGGCUGUAAACCUCUUUUAUCAAGGAAGAAGAUCUGACGGUACUUGAUGAAUAAGCCACGGCUAAUUCCGUGCCAGCAGCCGCGGUAAUACGGGAGUGGCAAGCGUUAUCCGGAAUUAUUGGGCGUAAAGCGUCCGCAGGCGGUCUUGUAAGUCUGUCGUUAAAGCGUGGAGCUCAACUCCAUUUCGGCGGUGGAAACUACAAGACUAGAGUGUGGUAGGGGCAGAGGGAAUUCCCGGUGUAGCGGUGAAAUGCAUAGAUAUCGGGAAGAACACCAGUGGCGAAGGCGCUCUGCUGGGCCAUAACUGACGCUCAUGGACGAAAGCUAGGGGAGCGAAAGGGAUUAGAUACCCCUGUAGUCCUGGCCGUAAACGAUGAACACUAGGUGUCGGGGGAAUCGACCCCCUCGGUGUCGUAGCUAACGCGUUAAGUGUUCCGCCUGGGGAGUACGCACGCAAGUGUGAACUUAAGGAAUUGACGG
rnacentral:rRNA from 1 species